rnacentral:tRNA from 1 species
GAUUAAAUGGCUGAAGUUUAGGCAAUAGAUUGUAAAUUUAUUUAUGAGAAUCGUUCUCUUUAAUCA